GAUAAAGUGCCUGAGAAUAAAGGAUUAUUAUGAUGUAAUAAGAAACGGAUGAAUUUCCCUUUAUCU
rnacentral:tRNA from 1 species